rnacentral:tRNA from 1 species
UGGGAGUUUAGCCCAGUGGUAGAGUGGUACAGUGCUUGCCUGGCACGUGUGAGGCCCUGGGUUCAAUCCCCAGCAUCUUAA